rnacentral:rRNA from 1 species
AACGAACGCUGGCGGCAGGCCUAACACAUGCAAGUCGAGCGAGAUCUUCGGGUCUAGCGGCGGACGGGUGAGUAACUCGUCGGAAUAUGCCUCUUGGUACUGAUUAGCCUCGGGAAACUGGGAGUAAUACCGUAUUUGCCCUCUGUGGGAAAGAUUUAUCGCCAAGAGAUUAGCCCGCGUUGGAUUAGGUAGUUGGUGGGGUAAUGGCAUACCAAGCCGAAGAUCCAUAGCUGGUUUGAGAGGAUGGUCAGCCACACUGGGACUGAGACACGGCCCAGACUCCUACGCGAGGCAGAAGUGGGGAAUCGUAGACAAUGGGGGCAACCCUGAGCGAACCAUGCCGGGUGAGUGAUGAAGGCAUUAGAGUAGUAAAGCUCUUUCAGCUGGGAAGAUAAUGACGGUACCAGAAGAAGAAGCCCCGGCUAACUCCGUG